rnacentral:ncRNA from 1 species
AAAGUUUUGGUCCUAAACUUGCCAUUGUUUUUAACCAAAAUUAUACAUGCAAGCCUCCACACACCAGUGAGAAUGCCCACAUACCCUAAACAGCCAACUGGAGCAGGCAUCAGGAUUCAACUCUUCCAUUAGCCAAAGACGCCUUGCUAUGCCACACCCACACGGGCUCUCAGCAGUAAUUAACAUUAAACACAUGAACGAAAGUUCGAAUUAGUUAUGGUUAACACGGUCGGUAAAUUUCGUGCCAGCCACCGCGGUUAUACGAAAGACCAAAAACAACGGCCCACGGCGUAAAGAGUGACUAGAAUAAAUUUAAGCCUAGAGGGGAAAGACCACGAAGUUGUAAAACACUACCGCAUGCCAGAACAACAACAAACGCCUCUAAAACAUCAACCUCACGAAAGCUAAGAGACAAACUGGGAUUAGAUACCCCACUAUGCUUAGCCCUAAACACAAGUAAUACUAAUACAAUACUACUCGCCAGAGAACUACAAGCGAAAAGCUUAAAACUCAAAAGACUUGGCGGUGCUUCAAAUCAACCUAGAGGAGCCUGUCCUAUAAUCGAUACCCCACGUUUUACCUUACCGCCCUUAGACAAUCAGCCUAUAUACCGCCGUCGUAAGCCUACCUUAUGAAAGAAGAAAAGUAGGCAAAAGAGCUAAUAACAAAUACGUCAGGUCAAGGUGUAGCACACAGGACGGCAGAGAUGGGCUACAUUUUCCACAAACAACAUACGAAUAACAUGUUGAAAUAAUAUGCUUGAAGGCGGAUUUAGUAGUAAGAUAGGCUAGAAAACCUAUCUUAAACCUGCUCUGAAGCGCGCACACACCGCCCGUCACCCUCAUCACAUGUUUACAAUAUAAGAUAUAAUACUCAAAGCACCCUCAGAUGAGGCAAGUCGUAACAUGGUAAGUGCACUGGAAAGUGCGCUUGGAAU